GCUAACGCGUUAAGUCGACCGCCUGGGGAGUACGGCCGCAAGGUUAAAACUCAAAUGAAUUGACGGGGGCCCGCACAAGCGGUGGAGCAUGUGGUUUAAUUCGAUGCAACGCGAAGAACCUUACCUGGUCUUGACAUCCACGGAAGUUUUCAGAGAUGAGAAUGUGCCUUCGGGAACCGUGAGACAGGUGCUGCAUGGCUGUCGUCAGCUCGUGUUGUGAAAUGUUGGGUUAAGUCCCGCAACGAGCGCAACCCUUAUCCUUUGUUGCCAGCGGUCCGGCCGGGAACUCAAAGGAGACUGCCAGUGAUAAACUGGAGGAAGGUGGGGAUGACGUCAAGUCAUCAUGGCCCUUACGACCAGGGCUACACACGUGCUACAAUGGCGCAUACAAAGAGAAGCGACCUCGCGAGAGCAAGCGGACCUCAUAAAGUGCGUCGUAGUCCGGAUUGGAGUCUGCAACUCGACUCCAUGAAGUCGGAAUCGCUAGUAAUCGUGGAUCAGAAUGCCACGGUGAAUACGUUCCCGGGCCUUGUACACACCGCCCGUCACACCAUGGGAGUGGGUUGCAAAAGAAGUAGGUAGCUUAACCUUCGGGAGGGCGCUUACCACUUUGUGAUUCAUGACUGGGGUGAAGUCGUAACAAGGUAACCGUAGGGGAACCUGCGGUUGGAUCACCUCCUUA
rnacentral:rRNA from 1 species